CCCUACGGGGGGCAGCAGUGGGGAAUAUUGGGCAAUGGAGGCAACUCUUACCCAGCAAUGCCGCGUGAAUGAAGAAGGUCUUCGGAUUGUAAAGUUCUUUAAUUGGGGACGAAAAAAAUGACGGUACCCAAGGAAUAAGCCCCGGCUAACUACGUGCCAGCAGCCGCGGUAAUACGUAGGGGGCAAGCGUUAUCCGGAUUUACUGGGCGUAAAGGGUGCGUAGGUGGCAUAGUAAGUCUUUUGUAAAAAUGCUGGGCUCAACCCAGUAGGGCAAAAGAUACUGCAAAGCUAGAGUAUGACAGAGG
rnacentral:rRNA from 1 species